rnacentral:misc_RNA from 1 species
UCCGGCUUAACGCCGGCAGUCUACCUAGAGUGCCCAACUUAAUGGUGGCAACUAAGUACGAGGGUUGCGCUCGUUGCGGGACUUAACCCGACACUUCACAGCACGAGCUGACGACAGCCAUGCAGCACCUGUGCUUGUUCCACCCUUGCGGGUGUGGCUCCUGUUUCCGGGAGUUAAUCCAAGCAUGUCAAACCCAGGUAAGGUUCUUCGCGUUGCCUCGAAUUAAGCAACAUGCUCCACCGCUUGUGUGAGCCCCCGUCAAUUCCUUUGAGUUUUAGCCUUGCGACCGUACUCCCCAGGCGGCGCGCUUAUCGCUUUUGCUUCGACCGAGCCGGCGUCAGAGCCGCCCCGAUCUAGCUCGCAUUGUUUACGGCGUGGACUAC